UCCGAUUUAACAACAGUGUCAUCAUAUUGAAUCAUCACUUGAAUCUGAAUGGGAAAUUCAGUAGAGAAAACAAUAAAGAGUUAAAAUAUGAAACUUAUAGCAGCACAUGCUGCUACCAUCAGUGCAUUUCCUAUAAAAAUGAAAUGUCCAAAAUAACAUUGAUACAUAGCUUAUAAUUUUAUAGCUCAAAGAAAUGAUAGAAUUUACUCAUACAAAUGGAGAAAUAGAAUAUGUCUCUUAUAGUCAGCAGAGGGAAUCAUAUCAUUCGUAUCAUUCCUGACUCAAUCCAAAUCGAAGGCAUAUUUUCAUGCGGCCUGCA
rnacentral:lncRNA from 1 species